GGUAACGGCUCACCAUGGCAAUGAUACGUAGCCGACCUGAGAGGGUAAUCGGCCACAUUGGGACUGAGACACGGCCCAAACUCCUACGGGAGGCAGCAGUAGGGAAUCUUCCACAAUGGACGAAAGUCUGAUGGAGCAACGCCGCGUGAGUGAAGAAGGGUUUCGGCUCGUAAAACUCUGUUGUUAAAGAAGAACAUAUCUGAGAGUAACUGUUCAGGUAUUGACGGUAUUUAACCAGAAAGCCACGGCUAACUACGUGCCAGCAGCCGCGGUAAUACGUAGGUGGCAAGCGUUGUCCGGAUUUAUUGGGCGUAAAGCGAGCGCAGGCGGUUUUUUAAGUCUGAUGUGAAAGCCUUCGGCUCAACCGAAGAAGUGCAUCGGAAACUGGGAAACUUGAGUGCAGAAGAGGACAGUGGAACUCCAUGUGUAGCGGUGAAAUGCGUAGAUAUAUGGAAGAACACCAGUGGCGAAGGCGGCUGUCUGGUCUGUAACUGACGCUGAGGCUCGAAAGUAUGGGUAGCAAACAGGAUUAGAUACCCUGGUAGUCCAUACCGUAAACGAUGAAUGCUAAGUGUUGGAGGGUUUCCGCCCUUCAGUGCUGCAGCUAACGCAUUAAGCAUUCCGCCUGGGGAGUACGGCCGCAAGGCUGAAACUCAAAGGAAUUGACGGGGGCCCGCACAAGCGGUGGAGCAUGUGGUUUAAUUCGAAGCUACGCGAAGAACCUUACCAGGUCUUGACAUACUAUGCAAAUCUAAGAGAUUAGACGUUCCCUUCGGGGACAUGGAUACAGGUGGUGCAUGGUUGUCGUCAGCUCGUGUCGUGAGAUGUUGGGUUAAGUCCCGCAACGAGCGCAACCCUUAUUAUCAGUUGCCAGCAUUAAGUUGGGCACUCUGGUGAGACUGCCGGUGACAAACCGGAGGAAGGUGGGGAUGACGUCAAAUCAUCAUGCCCCUUAUGACCUGGGCUACACACGUGCUACAAUGGAUGGUACAACGAGUUGCGAACUCGCGAGAGUAAGCUAAUCUCUUAAAGCCAUUCUCAGUUCGGAUUGUAGGCUGCAACUCGCCUACAUGAAGUCGGAAUCGCUAGUAAUCGCGGAUCAGCAUGCCGCGGUGAAUACGUUCCCGGGCCUUGUACACACCGCCCGUCACACCAUGAGAGUUUGUAACACCCAAAGUCGGUGGGGUAACCUUUUAGGAACCAGCCGCCUAAGGUGGGACAGAUGAUUAGGGUGAAGUCGUAACAAGGUAGCCGUAGGAGAACCUGCGGCUGGAUCACCUCCUUU
rnacentral:rRNA from 2 species